AGGGGUUGGGGUAUUCAUGUUCUGCCCUUGCAGCACUGCAGCCACCAGGUCCUUCGAGUCAUCCCUGUGGAAGAAGUGCAAGGUGGAGAUGUGCUGGGCAGCUCAGCAUCCCUGAGAUCUGAAGGUGGGUGGAAGGAGGAAUCUCCUUUCUUCUUGGGUCACGCUUGCUGGCUAGGCUGGAGACAGCUCCUGCAAACCUCAGCUCUGUGCAAGGGCAUUUGUUAUCAGAGACAGCAACAAAAUAGAUGAACCCAAAGGGGCUCCCUUGUCUCAUGCAGGAGGGAAGACAGAGCCACUGUGAGACUGACUGCUGCUAACAGCUCCGCAUCGUGCAGGCUGCGGCAAAGGGUUUUGCAGGACAAAUGUGCAGAAUUGUUGCAAGUCUAUGAAUCAGUCUUUGGAUCAGAGAUACAGUGGGUGCUGAUACAGAUCUUAGCCCACAGAAUUUAUUCUGCUUGGUUUCUUUCAGAUGCAGGACAGACCUUGCAGAACCCAAGCAACUUGCAUAUGAGGGGAUGCAGGUCCACUGAGUCCAUUGGGAGAGCAGGGGCUGCACACACCAGCUGUGGUGGCACUUUGCUGCCCACCAUCACUGGUAGCUCAUGGCUGGGAUUGCUCCCUCCACUGCCUGGACUCUCAGGCUAUGUUUCUUACUUGGAAAUAGUUUGUUCCCCUUUGGAUGCCUGGGGUGAAUGAUGGGAGGGAGCACUUCAGGAGUUUUGUUGUUGUAUUGCUUCUUUCUCUGGUGUCUCUAUGUUCCAAAAUUUGUCCACAGGUCAAAAGCAACGACUCAAAUCCAGCAAAUGGCUCUUUGUUGGGCAGACCUGUUGCAUACACCGCUCAGGGCUGACUUAUUUUCCUCUUGGUGGUAGUGAUCUUUAACGGAUACUGCAAUUUUUAGGACUGUCCAGGAAAUAGAUGCCUGCAUUUCUCUCUGACUCAAUGUGUGGGUAUUAAAACAUUCUUAAAGCAUUUCGGGAGGGGGAGAGCAUAUCAAUAUUCUGGGCUGCCAGUAAGCUUUUGUUUUUGGUGUUCAGCUGCCAAAGCUGCAGAGCACUGGGGUGGAGACCAGCGCAUGGACUGUUCUGAUGGAGUCACCCUGCAGUGUACAGGAUAGGUCAUUAAAUCACAAUCAGAAGCAUCUGCUGGGCUGAUUUGGCUCUUGUUACGUGAGACACCCUCAGUUGCUCCUGUCCAGGGUCCUCCAUCAUUUCCCAGUGCUCUGCCAUCUCCAUCAGCCUCUCCUAUUUGCAGGACCCUGUUAUAAUGGGGAUGCUCCAGGACCUCCAUAAUAUCCUGCAUGUCCCCAUUGCAUGAUGCCAGAGCACCAUUGGCAGCAAUCACCCAGGUGUUACUGAGUGAAGGGUUUGGAUGGGGUCAGCAGAGACGUAAUUGCAUCUGGAAAAAUAAAAAUUGAAAGUAUCAAUAUUUCCCUGAGGCUGGAAGUAGAAAUGAGUCCUGAAUUUUCAGUGAAGGCACCAAACAACUUUGCCUCAGCUAAAAAAAAAAAACAAAAAAAAAAAAAAAAAACCCAGUAAAAUUAAGAAACUGAAAUUUGGACUAAAUCAGCAUGCCUGUGGGAGGAAGUGGUUUUUCUCUCUCAUCUUAUAAAACCAUGUCAGAGGCCUUCAUUUGCAAUGCCAUUUUCUCUCCUAUCCAAGGUUUUCUGCCUGUUGCGUAUCUCCAAGUACAAUUAAUACAGCAGAUGGCAUCUGGGUACUUUGGCAGGUGUGAAGGAGGCCUUGUCUUCUUCUGAAGUGUUUCACUAUAUAAAUAAGCUCUGUGUAACUGCUGAGACCCAGGUAUGGUACAUCUUGGGCAGCAUCCUGAAUAUCAGGCUAGAAUUAGUCUGUAGCAGGGACUCAUUGAAUACAAAGUGAAGUGGCAUAAAGGGAAGAGGUUGAGAGCAUUGGCACGCAGCACGUGCCAUGGUUAGCACAGCCUGCGUGCUCGUAGCAUGGCAGGAGGUGAAGGGAUCAUCAUGAAACAGGAGAGUCCAAACGUACUUGAGUAUUUGCUGAGGUUAUUUAGCCAUGUGAAUGAUUUGUCUCUCUCCCUAAUUCACAUGAUGAUUUUGGUGUGUUUUUGGUAACGCAUGCAUGUGAUGAAAGGCAAGUCGUUGGAGUUUUCAUCCAUUUGAAACAUCCCAGGUAGAAAUUACUAUUUGAAACUGUGAAAGCUGUAAAUAGAAAGUUGAGGAGAUAGGAAUGGUAUUGUUGCAAGUGAGA